rnacentral:rRNA from 1 species
AGAGUUUGAUCCUGGCUCAGGAUGAACGCUAGCUACAGGCUUAACACAUGCAAGUCGAGGGGCAGCAUGGCCUUAGCUUGCUAAGGCUGAUGGCGACCGGCGCACGGGUGAGUAACACGUAUCCAACCUGCCGUCUACUCUUGGCCAGCCUUCUGAAAGGAAGAUUAAUCCAGGAUGGGAUCAUGAGUUCGACAUGUCCGCAUGAUUAAAGGUAUUUUCCGGUAGACGAUGGGGAUGCGUUCCAUUAGAUAGUAGGCGGGGUAACGGCCACCUAGUCAACGAUGGAUAGGGGUUCUGAGAGGAAGGUCCCCCACAUUGGAACUGAGACACGGUCCAAACUCCUACGGGAGGCA